AGUCGAACGAGUUCUCGUUGAUGAUCGGUGCUUGCACCGAGAUUCAACAUGGAACGAGUGGCGGACGGGUGAGUAACACGUGGGUAACCUGCCCUUAAGUGGGGGAUAACAUUUGGAAACAGAUGCUAAUACCGCAUAGAUCCAAGAACCGCAUGGUUCUUGGCUGAAAGAUGGCGUAAGCUAUCGCUUUUGGAUGGACCCGCGGCGUAUUAGCUAGUUGGUGAGGUAACGGCUCACCAAGGCGAUGAUACGUAGCCGAACUGAGAGGUUGAUCGGCCACAUUGGGACUGAGACACGGCCCAAACUCCUACGGGAGGCAGCAGUAGGGAAUCUUCCACAAUGGACGCAAGUCUGAUGGAGCAACGCCGCGUGAGUGAAGAAGGCUUUCGGGUCGUAAAACUCUGUUGUUGGAGAAGAAUGGUCGGCAGAGUAACUGUUGUCGGCGUGACGGUAUCCAACCAGAAAGCCACGGCUAACUACGUGCCAGCAGCCGCGGUAAUACGUAGGUGGCAAGCGUUAUCCGGAUUUAUUGGGCGUAAAGCGAGCGCAGGCGGUUUUUUAAGUCUGAUGUGAAAGCCCUCGGCUUAACCGAGGAAGCGCAUCGGAAACUGGGAAACUUGAGUGCAGAAGAGGACAGUGGAACUCCAUGUGUAGCGGUGAAAUGCGUAGAUAUAUGGAAGAACACCAGUGGCGAAGGCGGCUGUCUGGUCUGUAACUGACGCUGAGGCUCGAAAGCAUGGGUAGCGAACAGGAUUAGAUAC
rnacentral:rRNA from 1 species